rnacentral:rRNA from 1 species
UGUGGUUUAAUUCGAAGCAACGCGCAGAACCUUACCAGCCCUUGACAUCCCGAUCGCGGAAGGUGGAGACACCCUCCUUCAGUUAGGCUGGAUCGGAGACAGGUGCUGCAUGGCUGUCGUCAGCUCGUGUCGUGAGAUGUUGGGUUAAGUCCCGCAACGAGCGCAACCCUCGCCCUUAGUUGCCAGCAUUUGGUUGGGCACUCUAGGGGGACUGCCGGUGAUAAGCCGAGAGGAAGGUGGGGAUGACGUCAAGUCCUCAUGGCCCUUACGGGCUGGGCUACACACGUGCUACAAUGGUGGUGACAGUGGGCAGCGAGACCGCGAGGUCGAGCUAAUCUCCAAAAGCCAUCUCAGUUCGGAUUGCACUCUGCAACUCGAGUGCAUGAAGUCGGAAUCGCUAGUAAUCGUGGAUCAGCAUGCCACG